rnacentral:rRNA from 1 species
GGUUAAGCGACUAAGCGUACACGGUGGAUGCCCUGGCAGUCAGAGGCGAUGAAGGACGUGCUAAUCUGCGAAAAGCGCCGGCGAGGUGAUAUGAACCUUUGACCCGGCGAUGUCCGAAUGGGGAAACCCAGUGCAAUCCGUUGCACUAUCGUUAACUGAAUACAUAGGUUAACGAGGCGAACCGGGGGAACUGAAACAUCUAAGUACCCCGAGGAAAAGAAAUCAACCGAGAUUCCCCCAGUAGCGGCGAGCGAACGGGGAGCAGCCCGGAGUCUGAAUCAGCUUGUGUGUUAGUGGAACGGUCUGGAAAGUCCGACGGUACAGGGUGAUAGUCCCGUACACGAAAGCACACUUGCUGUGAACUCGAAGAGUAGGGCGGGACACGUGGUAUCCUGUCUGAAUAUGGGGGGACCAUCCUCCAAGGCUAAAUACUCCUGACUGACCGAUAGUGAACCAGUACCGUGAGGGAAAGGCGAAAAGAACCCCGGCGAGGGGAGUGAAAAAGAACCUGAAACCGUGUACGUACAAGCAGUGGGAGCCUCUUUAUGGGGUGACUGCGUACCUUUUGUAUAAUGGGUCAGCGACUUAUAUUCUGUAGCAAGGUUAACCGUAUAGGGGAGCCGAAGGGAAACCGAGUCUUAACUGGGCGUUAAGUUGCAGGGUAUAGACCCGAAACCCGGUGAUCUAGCCAUGGGCAGGUUGAAGGUUGGGUAACACUAACUGGAGGACCGAACCGACUAAUGUUGAAAAAUUAGCGGAUGACCUGUGGCUGGGGGUGAAAGGCCAAUCAAACCGGGAGAUAGCUGGUUCUCCCCGAAAGCUAUUUAGGUAGCGCCUCGUGAACUCAUCUUCGGGGGUAGAGCACUGUUUCGGCUAGGGGGCCAUCCCGGCUUACCAACCCGAUGCAAACUACGAAUACCGAAGAAUGUUAUCACGGGAGACACACGGCGGGUGCUAACGUCCGUCGUGAAGAGGGAAACAACCCAGACCGCCAGCUAAGGUCCCAAAGUCAUGGUUAAGUGGGAAACGAUGUGGGAAGGCACAGACAGCCAGGAUGUUGGCUUAGAAGCAGCCAUCAUUUAAAGAAAGCGUAAUAGCUCACUGGUCGAGUCGGCCUGCGCGGAAGAUGUAACGGGGCUAAACCAUGCACCGAAGCUGCGGCAGCGACACUAUGUGUUGUUGGGUAGGGGAGCGUUCUGUAAGCCGUUGAAGGUGUCCUGUGAGGGGUGCUGGAGGUAUCAGAAGUGCGAAUGCUGACAUAAGUAACGAUAAAGCGGGUGAAAAGCCCGCUCGCCGGAAGACCAAGGGUUCCUGUCCAACGUUAAUCGGGGCAGGGUGAGUCGACCCCUAAGGCGAGGCCGAAAGGCGUAGUCGAUGGGAAACAGGUUAAUAUUCCUGUACUUGGUGUUACUGCGAAGGGGGGACGGAGAAGGCUAUGUCAGCCGGGCGACGGUUGUCCCGGUUUAAGCAUGUAGGCGGAGGUUCCAGGUAAAUCCGGUACCUUAUUAACGCUGAGGUGUGAUGACGAGGCACUACGGUGCUGAAGUGAUAAAUGCCCUGCUUCCAGGAAAAGCCUCUAAGCAUCAGGUAACACGAAAUCGUACCCCAAACCGACACAGGUGGUCAGGUAGAGAAUACCAAGGCGCUUGAGAGAACUCGGGUGAAGGAACUAGGCAAAAUGGUGCCGUAACUUCGGGAGAAGGCACGCUGAUAUGUAGGUGAAGUCCCUGCGGACGGAGCUGAAAUCAGUCGAAGAUACCAGCUGGCUGCAACUGUUUAUUAAAAACACAGCACUGUGCAAACACGAAAGUGGACGUAUACGGUGUGACGCCUGCCCGGUGCCGGAAGGUUAAUUGAUGGGGUUAGCGGCAACGCGAAGCUCUUGAUCGAAGCCCCGGUAAACGGCGGCCGUAACUAUAACGGUCCUAAGGUAGCGAAAUUCCUUGUCGGGUAAGUUCCGACCUGCACGAAUGGCGUAAUGAUGGCCAGGCUGUCUCCACCCGAGACUCAGUGAAAUUGAACUCGCUGUGAAGAUGCAGUGUACCCGCGGCAAGACGGAAAGACCCCGUGAACCUUUACUAUAGCUUGACACUGAACACUGGUCCUUGAUGUGUAGGAUAGGUGGGAGGCUUUGAAGCGUGGACGCCAGUCUGCGUGGAGCCAACCUUGAAAUACCACCCUUUAAUGGCUGGUGUUCUAACGUAGACCCGUAAUCCGGGUUGCGGACAGUGUCUGGUGGGUAGUUUGACUGGGGCGGUCUCCUCCCAAAGAGUAACGGAGGAGCACGAAGGUUGGCUAAUCCUGGUCGGACAUCAGGAGGUUAGUGCAAUGGCAUAAGCCAGCUUGACUGCGAGCGUGACGGCGCGAGCAGGUGCGAAAGCAGGUCAUAGUGAUCCGGUGGUUCUGAAUGGAAGGGCCAUCGCUCAACGGAUAAAAGGUACUCCGGGGAUAACAGGCUGAUACCGCCCAAGAGUUCAUAUCGACGGCGGUGUUUGGCACCUCGAUGUCGGCUCAUCACAUCCUGGGGCUGAAGUAGGUCCCAAGGGUAUGGCUGUUCGCCAUUUAAAGUGGUACGCGAGCUGGGUUUAGAACGUCGUGAGACAGUUCGGUCCCUAUCUGCCGUGGGCGCUGGAGAAUUGAGGGGGGCUGCUCCUAGUACGAGAGGACCGGAGUGGACGCAUCACUGGUGUUCGGGUUGUCAUGCCAAUGGCACUGCCCGGUAGCUAAAUGCGGAAGAGAUAAGUGCUGAAAGCAUCUAAGCACGAAACUUGCCCCGAGAUGAGUUCUCCCUGAGACUUUAAGUCUCCUGAAGGAACGUUGAAGACGACGACGUUGAUAGGUCGGGUGUGUAAGCGCAGCGAUGCGUUGAGCUAACCGAUACUAAUGAACCGUGAGGCUUAACCUU